rnacentral:rRNA from 1 species
GAGGCAGCGAUCUAGUAGAGUUCAUUUACUGAAGGUGUUCACCUUUUGUGUGAUUAUCAGUUCACGUUUGGUGUGAUUUUCUGUUCAGCAAGCUUACUAUUUCAUCAUCAGGAUGUAGCAAAAAAGCAAGAUUCACAAGUUCAUCUUCUGGUUGCUUUUUAGUACAUCUACUUCCCGUUGAUCAUGAUCUUGAGAGGCUCACCGUCGAGGCUGAAGAAGGGGGAGAUGUAGAUGCUGGACUACUCAGGGGUCAGGGCCUUUGCCGCUGAUGUUGUGUUGUGUUAGGUCAACACGAAGUACUAGAAUUAUUUUGCAGGAAGAGAAGGCAGCGAGAAGAUGUUCCAGGUGACACGCCCUUCCAUCAAAAAAAAGUUCAAACAUAGCAAAAAGUCACAGAAAAGGAUGUGAACAUAGCAUACUCCCAUGGUUGUAUGAGUAAACAUACACUAAGUGUAGACGUUCACCAUGUGCUUUAUCAUCAGUUCAAAAAAAAAGCUCUGUGUGUGCUACUGAAAUUGACAUGG